GAGAGCUGGCCGGCGCCGACCCGGCCUGGGGCAGCGGCCGCAGCUCCCCGCCCGGGACCGCGCAAAAAGGCCCAAGGUCCCGGGCCGCACUCACCGAAGUCCAGGAACUGCUUCAUGGAGAGCGGGGACGGCGAGAAGCGCGCGUAGAAGUCCACCUGGCCCGGAACGCCGCGCUCGGACGCCGGGCUGGAGCCCGAGUCCGAGCUGAAGCUGCGGCUGAAGCCGGCGGCGCGCAGCCCCGGGCCCGGGCCGGCCAAGGCGGCUCCGCGAAGCAGCCGCGCCAGCCUCAUGCCGAGUCCCGCUAGAGAAGCCACAGCCAGUACGCCAGGUUUCCCCGCGCCUCUGCCGAGUGUCAUUCUCCAGCUGGGAUUGAGAACAAGGGGAAGCUGGCCAUAGAGCCAGGUGACCAAAGAUGGAAGACAAAGGGUGGGCUGUGAUUCCCAGAGCUCCAAGCCUUGUUCUGUCUUGUCACACCAACUGUUACUGAUGAACAGCAUGUGAGAACUUUUGGCUGAUGAAUACAAGAUACGCUCAUUCAUUCUCUUCAUUGCUAUGAAAUGAGUUUUUCCACAACCUCCUGCAGAACCUCAACACAUCACUAGGUGGCAACAUCCCUACACCAUAUCGGUUUAGAAACCACGGUUAGGAGGAGCAGCAAAACACGCGGCAUCCCAGUAUGAUUCAGAAGUAAAGUUUACAAUCUUUGAGGCCUGGCUGACUCAUGGAACAACUAGGACAAGAAACAAAGACAAAGAACACACACCUGACUGGACAGAGAUAAACCAAGAGCUGAGAGUUUUGGAAACAAGGCUGGAGCUGAGGAAAAGGACUGGGAACACGAACCUGUACAAACAACAAAUUCUUACAACAGAAAACAAGCCACUCCUGGCCAUCAAGAAACCCACAAAUCUCAGAAGCAAAAGCAAAACAAAUGAAAAUACAAACCAAAUAGUCUCUAUUACCUUCAUGCCUGUUGGGUCCCAAUAAAGGAAUCAUUCCAAUAAAGGAUUCAACAUAUUUUUUUUAAACCAAUAUCAU
rnacentral:lncRNA from 10 species